GACGAACGCUGGCGGCGUGCCUAAUACAUGCAAGUUGAGCGCUGAAGGUUGGUACUUGUACCAACUGGAUGAGCAGCGAACGGGUGAGUAACGCGUGGGGAAUCUGCCUUUGAGCGGGGGACAACAUUUGGAAACGAAUGCUAAUACCGCAUAAAAACUUUAAACACAAGUUUUAAGUUUGAAAGAUGCAAUUGCAUCACUCAAAGAUGAUCCCGCGUUGUAUUAGCUAGUUGGUGAGGUAAAGGCUCACCAAGGCGAUGAUACAUAGCCGACCUGAGAGGGUGAUCGGCCACAAUGGGACUGAGACACGGCCCAAACUCCUACGGGAGGCAGCAGUAGGGAAUCUUCGGCAAUGGACGAAAGUCUGACCGAGCAACGCCGCGUGAGGGAAGAAGGUUUUCGGAUCGUAAAACUCUGUUGGUAGAGAAGAACGUUGGUGAGAGUGGAAAGCUCAUCAAGUGACGGUAACUACCCAGAAAGGGACGGCUAACUACGUG
rnacentral:rRNA from 1 species